GUUGGCAGGGCAGGAGCACUUUACCUGACCUCCUGCCACCUGCAUCACUGCAACUUACUGGGAGGGAGAGGUGAGGUGGUGGGGAGGUCAGCAUGGUGCAAGUGCAGGAUUGGUUCCAUUGGUGCGUUUGCACUGCGCUGACCUCACCGCUGCCUUACCUGCCCCCUUCUGGGUGAGUCGUGGUGACUCAGGUGACAGGAGGUCAGGUAAGCACCCCUGCCUUGUCAGC